GAAAUGCGAUAAGUAAUGUGAAUUGCAGAAUUCAGUGAAUCAUCGAGUUUUUGAACGCACAUUGCGCCCCUUGGUAUUCCGAGGGGCACGCCUGUUCGAGCGUCAUUCAGACCAUCAAGCCUUGCUUGGUAUUGGAUCAAUCGAUGAUGAAUCGAUGAUCUUGAAGACGUUGGCGGCAUGACCUGACCUGAAGCGUGACGACAUCACUGCGGAUAGGGGGGACAUGCUUGCUCAAUCAACCCAUUUUCAAAGGUUGACCUCGGAUCAGGUGGGGAUACCCGCUGAACUUAA
rnacentral:misc_RNA from 1 species